CCUGGCAGCUUGCUGCCGGGGUGAGAGUGGCGAACGGGUGAGUAAUGCGUGACCGACCUGCCCCAUGCACCGGAAUAGCUCCUGGAAACGGGUGGUAAUGCCGGAUGUUCCACAUGAGCGCAUGCGAGUGUGGGAAAGGCUUUUGCGGCAUGGGAUGGGGUCGCGUCCUAUCAGCUUGUUGGUGGGGUAACGGCCUACCAAGGCGUUGACGGGUAGCCGGCCUGAGAGGGCGACCGGCCACAUUGGGACUGAGAUACGGCCCAGACUCCUACGGGAGGCAGCAGUGGGGAAUAUUGCACAAUGGGCGCAAGCCUGAUGCAGCGACGCCGCGUGCGGGAUGGAGGCCUUCGGGUUGUAAACCGCUUUUGUUCAAGGGCAAGGCACGGUUUCGGCCGUGUUGAGUGGAUUGUUCGAAUAAGCACCGGCUAACUACGUGCCAGCAGCCGCGGUAAUACGUAGGGUGCAAGCGUUAUCCGGAUUUAUUGGGCGUAAAGGGCUCGUAGGCGGUUCGUCGCGUCCGGUGUGAAAGUCCAUCGCUUAACGGUGGAUCCGCGCCGGGUACGGGCGGGCUUGAGUGCGGUAGGGGAGACUGGAAUUCCCGGUGUAACGGUGGAAUGUGUAGAUAUCGGGAAGAACACCAAUGGCGAAGGCAGGUCUCUGGGCCGUUACUGACGCUGAGGAGCGAAAGCGUGGGGAGCGAACAGGAUUAGAUACCCUGGUAGUCCACGCCGUAAACGGUGGAUGCUGGAUGUGGGGCCCUUUUUCCGGGUCCUGUGUCGGAGCUAACGCGUUAAGCAUCCCGCCUGGGGAGUAC
rnacentral:rRNA from 1 species